UUACUAAUUCAAGCGCCUGGACCGCCAGCUAAAGUUACACCCUUUAGGCUUUGAGCCGGCGGUUGACGAGGAAGGGGUUAAUCGAGGUUUUCGGCGGGUGCCCCUCGGUUGGUUACGACCGUUAAAGGCGCUACAAAACCCGGGAGCAAUCCCGGGGACAAAGGGCGCCGGGUAACCUUU
rnacentral:ncRNA from 2 species